GUUGUCUUAGUUUAAGUUAUGAAUGUUAAUUUUCCAAAUUAAAGGUCUGGGUAUUAUCAGAGGCAAUA
rnacentral:tRNA from 1 species